GACGAACGCUGGCGGCGUGCUUAACACAUGCAAGUCGAACGAUGAAGCCUAACGUGCUAGGUGGAUUAGUGGCGGACGGGUGAGUAAUACGUGAGUGACCUACCUUUUACUCUUGGAUAAGGCUGGAAAACGGGGUCUAAUACCUGAUACGACCAAUCUCCUCAGGGGGUGUUGGUGGAAAGCGUUAUGGAGUGGUUUUAGAUGGGCUCACGGCCUAUCAGCUUGUUGGUGAGGUAAUGGCUUACCAAGGCGACGACGGGUCGCCGGCCUGAGAGGGUGACCGGCCACACUGGGACUGAGACACGGAGCAGACUCCUACGGGAGGCAGCAGUGGGGAAUAUUGCACAAUGGGCGCAAGCCUGAUGCAGAGACGCCGCGUGAGGGAUGCCGGCCUUCGGGUUGUAAACAUCUGUUAGCAUCGAAGAAGCGAAAGUGACGGUAGGUGCAGAGAAAGCGCCGGCUAACUACGUG
rnacentral:rRNA from 1 species